AGUGAACGCUGGCGGUAGGCCUAACACAUGCGAGUCGAACGGCAGCACAGUAAGAGCUUGCUCUUACGGGUGGCGAGUGGCGGACGGGUGAGGAAUACAUCGGAAUCUACUUUUUCGUGGGGGAUAACGUAGGGAAACUUACGCUAAUACCGCAUACGACCUACGGGUGAAAGCAGGGGAUCUUCGGACCUUGCGCGAUUGAAUGAGCCGAUGUCGGAUUAGCUAGUUGGCGGUGUAAAGGCCCACCAAGGCGGCGAUCCGUAGCUGGUCUGAGAGGAUGAUCAGCCACACUGGAACUGAGACACGGUGCAGACUCCUACGGGAGGCAGCAGUGGGGAAUAUUGGACAAUGGGCGCAAGCCUGAUCCAGCCAUACCGCGUGGGUGAAGAAGGCCUUCGGGUUGUAAAGCCCUUUUGUUGGGAAAGAAAAGCAGCAGGUUAAUACCCCGCUGUUCUGACGGUACCCAAAGAAUAAGCACCGGCUAACUUCGUG
rnacentral:rRNA from 1 species